rnacentral:lncRNA from 1 species
AUGAAAUGAUUAUUUCCAAUAUCUUGCACAUUUCAAAUCGCAUCGUUAAGCAAAUUAAUCGAAGUGGACUAAUUAAAUUAAUAAACGUACAUUUUUUCCAAUAAUUUUAAUAUUUAAUCUCGAGCAUCUCAUCAUCUGAACGAACAUAAUUGGUUCAACGCCUUAGCAUAUAGUUGUCUACUUUAAUGGAUUGCAUUACUUUCACUAUACAAGAGGAUAGUUUCAUUACUGUACCAAAAGAAAGGACCCCUUAACAACACGCAUUUGUCAGCGUGUUAAGCUAAACCUAAAAUCCCCGUUUACAUUAUGAUGUGAACACAGAAGACACAUGGCCCCAUAGAACAAGGCUUAUCAGUCCCCGGCGACCCCCGUCUCACCAACCAAGGUAGUGGCAGAACAAGAGCGCAAUUAGAGGGUGCUUAGAAUCCUCGGACUGGAUGGACCACGCGGAAUUAUAGGAGAUUUUAAUGCCCAACUGAGGCUAGGAGUUGUCAAGACGAUUGUGAAACCUCGCUAGGACAUCGGAGGUUUAGUGUAAGGAACGAUAGAGGACAGACACUACUUAACUUGGUGCAACAAAACAACUUAUAUGCGAUAAAUAGCUUCUUUAAAAAGGCUCUCCAGAGAAAAUGAACAAGUUGGCCAUGUCAUCACCACACCGUGAAAAUUCGUAUUAAAAAUUGCAUAGAGUACAACAAGCCUUUGGUGUUCGUUUUCGCGGACUACGAAAAAGCUUUCGAUACAGGGGAUCAUGGUAGUAUGGUCCAAGCCCUCCCUGAUUGUAGAAGCGAUCAUCGUUGCACCAACCUUAUAGAGCAUAUUUAUAAUGACUUAAUUAAAAUUAAAAAGCUUCAAGUUAUUAACAUGUUAUUUGAAAAGUCUUUUAAAAAAAGAACUUUGACACCCUGUGUUUCCGUUGACUUUUCUUCUAACUUGUGUUAAGUCGUGUCAUGUCGUGGAAUAUUUAUCUCUCUAUAUACCAAAGCAACUAAAUUGUGUAAGUCAAUCACUCAAAAUCAUUGUCGUUUGUUGAGAUAACUUCUUUGCACACUCAGGAACCAAAUGAGGACGAACUAUAUUUGGUUAAUAUUUGCUCGCAUCAACAAUUUCUAUUGUAUGAAGAAAUUGCGGUUUCAAUGACAGCAGUAAACCGCAAUACGGCGUGGGCCUUAAGAAUUUAUUGAAACACGUUAACCCAUAUACCGUUUUCAAUUUAGCAUAUCACUUUUGUAGCAACUAUAGUUUCCAGUUCUGUUGUGCUUAGAUUACCAUAUAGCGAUUUUUUCAAAGGUUCAAGGUAAAGAAUGGUUGUGAAAGUUCCUAGGAAAUUUCAUUUUUAAUCUAAAUCAGGUCAUGUUUGCUGUUCAUUUCAUCAGUAAGUACUACAUUAUUAGACACAUCAUAUACGUAUCAUCAUACAUGUACGUAUAAUAUUAUAUAAGCUUUGCAUUGAAUAACAAAACAUAUUUAAAAGCUUGGUUUUAGUUGGUAGCUAUUAAAAAAAUAAUAAUUUAGUCAGAAACAGAUGUACGUAUCCACAUUCCACUGAAUCCAGACUGCUUGUCUUCUCCGAUGCUUAUUGUUACUCAGUCCAGUUAAAAAAGCUGAAUCGUAAAUCAUCUAUUCCAAACCUGAACGCAUAACUAUUCAAAUAAUUGGACUGUGUCCGUUCGCAAGUAGAAUAAGUGAGUAAAUAAACUGAAAUAUCAUUAAGGUUCGGCUUUUAAGCAUUUGUUGAACAAUCUCUGAAGUAAAAAUCUCGAGCGAAAAA